rnacentral:rRNA from 1 species
AACGAACGCUGGCGGCAUGCCUAACACAUGCAAGUCGAACGAGACCUUCGGGUCUAGUGGCGCACGGGUGCGUAACGCGUGGGAACCUGCCCUUAGGUUCGGAAUAACUCCCCGAAAGGGGUGCUAAUACCGGAUAAUGUCUUCGGACCAAAGAUUUAUCGCCUUUGGAUGGGCCCGCGUUGGAUUAGCUAGUUGGUAGGGUAAAAGCCUACCAAGGCGACGAUCCAUAGCUGGUCUGAGAGGAUGAUCAGCCACACUGGGACAGAGACACGGCGGAGACUCUUACGGGAGGAAGAAGUGGGGAAUAUGGAACAAUGGGCGAAGGCAUGAUCCAGCAAGGCCGCGUGAGUGAUGAAGACCUGAGGGUUGGAAAGCUCGUUUAAACGGGAAGAUAAUGACAGUACCGGGAGAAUAAGCGACGGCUAACUCCGUG